GGAAUAUAAAACCCCGUCUCUUAAUUUUUAACUAAAAAAGUUAAGAACUAGUUCUUAAAUUCUUAAAACUCUUAUUUAAGAACCGGUUUUUAACUUUUUUUAGUUAAAAGUUAAGAGACAGAUUCUUAUAUUUC
rnacentral:pre_miRNA from 1 species